ACAGAGCCUGCUGCUACCCAGCCAUGAAUCCGCUGUGAGUGAUGUCCCGUCAUGUGUAAAGACCCGGAAGAUAACUUUACUGGAGUUAGAGAGAUUGGUGAAAGUGAAAUGCACUCCGAGGACCCAGAAAAAGAAGUGAUUGAAGAAUAUUAAGAAACGCACCCAGCGAAUUUCAGUUCAGACAACGACGAAACAGCAGAUGACCAAAGCAUUCGUCUUUUCCUGGACAUCUCCUGUUGUGUGGAUGACUAUGUGGAUGAAGAGGGGGAAAUCCUUGCUGAGGAGCAGAGUGAAGGCUAUCCUCACAUACAAGAUGGGGAGGAGCAUGGAAAUGAUCAGGCCAGAAGUGAAAAACCAGAACACUUGUUAAUAAAACUUUUGGGCAUGAUGAAAUUGACUGGUAUCCUCCGUGACGACUUCUUACAGUAUGUGGGUUGUCCAAAAUGUAUGACAGUGUACAUGCUUACUGAAACCUAUGAGCUCAGACGGGAUGGUACAAAGGUUUGCAGGACUUGUGGUCACAUCCCAUUCUACAAUCACCCACAGCAGAGGUCUGCAUUAAGGAAGAAAUGUGGCUCUGCCUUGCUAAGCAAGGCUACAUAUUUAAGCAGUGAAGAGUAUGUCCAUCCAAUACGUUCUUACUGAUACAAGAGUGUUGCGCAGUCUCUGGGAGGACUUGUUAAAAGACUUGGAUUUGAAGAGAAAUUAGAUGAAAGGCGAAAGCGGGAAAUGCCAAAGGGUGUGUUAGGAGAUGUAUAUGAUGGACAAGUAUGGCAGGAUUACCAGUAUGUGAAUUCAAUAACUGUAGUCAUGCCACUAUGCACAGUAUUUGAGCUGUGAUGUAAUUGCACAAGUUUCCUUGCUUCAUUCCCUUCCAGACAGACAUUUUGUUGUUUGACAUGUUGUUUGCAUAGAAUGCACAAAUUGAGCCUGAUUAAAACUCUGUUAAAACAAUUAAAAUUGUUGAAAUAAA